GUUCCCAGCUCCAAUAACUCUUAAAGGAAAAGAUGUAUAUCAGAAGCAUCAAUGUGUAGCAUAUCUGUGCUAUAACAGUAAAUGUCUAAAAUAAAUGUCAGAGCACAAGAAUGUCUAAACUAAAUGCAUGCGGUUAUUCACUAAACACACAAAGUAUAGUGAAUCAAGAUGUGAACACAUUCCAGGAUAUAACAGUCUUUGGAGGCAGUAAAGAGGGACAAUUGUAACUUAACAUCUCGAUAAAUCCCUUUUGGAACAGAGAAGAUAUCUAUAGAAAAUAAACUCAGCCCUUUCUAUUUCUCGAGGGCUGCACUGUUCCUGUGGAACUCGCUUCCCUCCUCC